GUUGUGUUUGCACCUGGAGAUCUUGUUUGGUUACAUUUGCGUAAGGAUAGAUUUCCUGAUUUGCGCAAAUCAAAGCUAAUGCCACGUGCUGAUGGUCCCUUUAAGGUGUUAGAGAAAAUAAAUGAUAAUGCAUAUAAACUUGAGCUGCCUGCAGAUUUUGGGGUUAGUCCCACUUUUAACAUUGCAGAUUUGAAGCCUUAUUUGGGUGAGGAAGAUGAACUUCCAUCGAGGACGACUUCAUUUCAAGAAGGGGAGGAUGAUGAGGACAUCAAUACAAUUGUUACACCCACAGCCCCUGCUGCUAUACAU
rnacentral:rRNA from 1 species